CUCCGAGCUGAGGUGUGGGGCGCAGCCUUCGGCACUAGGGACUCUGGUCUGAAGUGCUAGGUGGUGGACUCUGCGUGCGGCCCCUGUGAGCAAGUGAGCCCAGAUAAAGCACAAAGGAAAAGAACAAGGUGGUAGAGCUUCACCUGUGAAUUUUUAUAGAAGCCUGGGGAAACACUCAGCAGGAUCUAACUUUUUGUUACAGCUGCAGGUCUGGCCUCAACCAACUUCAGCCCUACUACCAGCCAAGGAGUAAAAAUCUUCCGUAAGCUGCUUUACCAGCAUACCUCCGUGGCCAAUGGUCAACAUUUUGGUGACUGAUACGGGGAUCCAGAGAAGACCCUUCACAGCUCUGAGGCUGGUGAGCAAACAGUUAAAUUCAGUUAACCACCUGGAGGAGUUGCUGGAGUCGGUUGUCAGGAGGACAUGGCCACCAGCUGACCAGAGACUGGACGUGGACAAAUGGAGGCCCUCACCGCCUCCUCUGUGAUUGGAAUGAACACCUUCCCCACCGUUCUCACAGUGAGAGCCAUUUUCAAGGACACAACCUUGAGAGUGAACUGCCUCGAGGACACAGCCUCGAGGGCGGAAGAUGUUGAGACCAUCUGGGUGGUAUACAUGACUGAACCCCGUUAAGACUUCUGCAUAAAGUUUACGAUUUGGUGGAUGAGUAUGGAGAUCUACUCCAGGACAAGCCUCACAAGUGCUCUAUGACAAAAGACAAUUUUUAUGUCACUUAAGAGGCAGUUGGACUCCCAUCCAAAGUUCAGUUCAGAUAUCAAGACUGCUGACACCAUGCAUCUGAUAUGUAACCAGAAGACUUAUAUUAAGGAUCAAGAUAUAUUUCCUGCAGUGAAAAUAGGUUCAAGAAAAGAACCAUUUUUGUCAGAUUCGUAUACACAGAAACCUAAAGGAGCCUGGAGAAAAAGAGACAGAUGCCACAGCUACGGGACAGGCGAUAAAUGCCGGAAGUCAGCAUGGUGUUGAGUACUGGGAUUAGCAAUGGUAGCUAUUUAUUGGGGGUUUACUACGUGUCUGGCACAGUCUGUCCACAGAAAAAGCCCUAUCAGAGAGAAAUGUUCCAUAUAACAGCUCUGAACAGUCAGUAUUAAUUUGAGUGUGGCUUCCCAAAGCAGUGUCUCCUGACAGGUUAUCCCUCAUGUGGCUUGAUUUGCACUAUCAACAACCAAGAGGAAUUGGAAGGACUAUGAUAAAUCAUGAAUUGAUUUGUGCAUAUGGAAUGAGGCUGGUUUUGAAGUUCAUUCUGUUUUCCGUAUAUAUAUAUAUAUAUCUCUAGCAUUUCUACCACCACUUGUUGAAAGAGUUUCCUUUCAAUAUUGAGUUAUUUUCAUACCUUUGUUGAAACACAGUUGAAAACAUAGGAACUAUAGUUACAAAGCUGAGAGCUCAAUAACGUUUUAAUGACUGGAGAAGGAGUCUAUGACUUGAGAAGAAAUAUGAAGGACUGACAAGGAAAAGGACACACAUUGCCUAAAUAUAAAGUGACUGGAAAGGGAAGACCUAAGGAAGAGACAGCUUUGGAAGCAAAAGAAAAUCCUGCUUUUAAAGCUACUGAUGUGAUUAGAUUACAUUCGCCCAGACAAUGUCCCUAUCUGAAGGUCAGCUGUGAUAUAUAACAUAACAUAAUACUGGACGUGGUAUCAGACUCACAAGUUCUGGUACCUUCAGUCCUGAAAGUGGAGAAAGGAAAUCAAUCUCUCCCCGCCGUGAGCCAACUGUGUGGAGUAAAAAGGCCUCCAGUCUCUGGCUGAAGCCUCUUGCAGUAAACUUCAUUCUUCUCUAAUCACUGUGAUCUCCAAACACUCAGGGACAAGAGUGACUUAGCACAUCCAAUCUGCAAUUCUUGUCAUGUGUGGUUUCAGGGGGAGCAAAGGCUGUUACUUGUGAUGGUCAAAGCAAAAAUCACACCAGACAAUGUAAGGAAGAACUUACUCAAGGCUACUGAAAUAGGAAAGGGUGGGGUCCAGAACACAGUCUGAACUCAACUGCACUGAAACAAAAGGUAGGGAAAUUUGUAAGAGCUGGAGAUAUUAAGCCAUCUGCUUCCUAACUGGCUUUAUCCAAAAGAAAAGUAAACUUUCUUUUAUCUUCCUGACAGGACAUAGUUGGAGCAAGGUGUCCACCUGAGCUAGGCUCCCACCCUCCCACUCAGAAUGGGAGAUAUGGACACUAUCUUCUUUGAUGAUUACUUUUCAAAGGGAUGGCUCUGGAGUCUCUGAGAAAGUCUCAGGUCCUGAGUUGUAAAGCAGACAGGAAGCUUUUCAUGACUUCUAUAUUAAAAUGUAUAUUAUACAUUUAAUAUAUAUGUGUAUAUAUAUUAAAAGAGGAAGAAUAUACUACAUAAAAGCUCUAAGAAAAGGGAGGGGAGGGACCUCUGUGGUUAGGCCAUCACGAUGAGAGGUGAGAGGAAGGACGGGGGCCUAGAAGCAAGAAGCCUGUCUAAAGUUUAGUCAUGCUGAGGGAAAUGUUAAGUCUGUCUUUAUCAGGAUUAAAUUUCCACCUAAUAUCAAAUAAGCAUCUGAGAAGAGCCUAGUGUUUACAGCUAGUAAUGAAGAAGUAGAAAACAGACUCAGUGCCAUUUGCUAAAAAUCCUGAGUUUUAAUCCAGUCAGCAGCCUCAUUAUCUUUUUUUUUUUAAAUAAACCAAAGGAAAUCUUUAGGUAUACUGACUUUAUUAGGUGCUAAAUGCAAAAGAUUCUUGAAAUAAGAGAAGUAUUUCUAUAUCCAGUGGACAUGGAUCUAAAGUUAAUGGCAAAGUAAUCUUACAUGGUAAAUUACCAUACUAAUCCAGAAUAAUUGCCUAUAAAAUGUCUUACAGUCAACAAAGUAUUUUUAACAAUAUAUGGUAUUCACCUGUAUGUUUAGAUGAUAGAAUCCUCACUUCCUAUGACUGGUAUAACAUUUCAAUUACAAAACAGAGGCUUAAUUAAGGAUGUAUUUUACGCCUGUUAAUUUUCUAAUAAAACAGGUUGACUGUAUAUGCUUGCUAAUGUCCUUCCUGUUCUUUAUUCUCUUGUAAGUGACGACUAUGCACAUAAUUUUAACAUUUAAUCCAAGAGAAUGACAUUCUUAGAUCUGUGCUAUACUGUGCAAAGAUUAAAUUAUGCAAAUGUAACAAGACAGGAAUCUUGUUACAUGAAAAAUGCUGACUCAUUCAAAAAUGCUAAUGUCCAAUUGUUAAGAACUUCCUCUGAGAAUAGCUUUCAUGUAAAAUUAACUGUUCUAACAAGAUUUGACAUAAAUGAAAUCUGCAAAUGGAUGAAUAAUUUAUAGGUACUGUAUUGAAUGCCAGAAGUUUCCUGGUUAGAUUUGCUUAUUCUAAAUUGCCAAGAUAUGAUCCUAAAGGAACAUUAAUCCUCAACCCCUACGAAGACCUGUUAAUGUUAAUCUAUUUAAUGAAUGAACUUAACAUACUUACUUGUUCAUCCCCUUUUUACUUUAUACUCUUAGCCAAACAAUUCAACGAGGACACAAUUUAUUAUUUUUGAAAUUACCGAAUUAUUAUUCUGUUGGGCUAUCUGAAAUAUUGGAUAAAAAUAGAUGAAGAGUCAUGAAUGAGCAGGCUUGCUGAAAGUAAAAUGACUUUAACAGUGUUUAAAGGGGUUAACUUUUAUGGUGAAAUCUUUAGUGAUUCCACUAAAGGAGAAAAUAAGCAGCCAUCUGUCACUUUGCUCCCUUAAGAUCUGCACAGAGAGAACAAACAAUAGAUGUCAGUAAAUAAAACAUCCUAUCUUUAAAUCUUUUUAACUUGAAAGUUAAUUUGCUCAUUAAAGAACUUUCAGAAAAUACAGAAAUGAAAAGGUAAAUGAUGACAAUGUAACAUCUUAGCAGUGAAUGAUAAAAAUCAAGAUGAAGAAAGGAGAAGGGGUGAAUGUGAAUUGUAGUUAUGUGAGGCCUUAUUUUCUGUAGCCUAUAAGAUAAAAAAGGUGUAUUACGUGUUUCUAAAUGAAGAUCAAUCAACUCUCUAUGAAAAGAGAAAUUCUUUAAAUUGAUGUAAAUAAAUGGAAUUGACAGAGAGACAGAGCUGGUACAACUUGCCACAUCCAUGAGUACUUGUAAUGGGGUAGAGCUGUAGCCAUUUCACAGGAAUGGAAGGUCUGGCAGUGCCUCCCCUUCAAAUACAGUGGUAAAGGAAAACAAUCCUAUUAAGAGUGAUUCAUCAAAGCCUGUGGCAAUUUUCAUUCACAUUAUGAUACACAAUUUCUAGUAUUUUCCUAGUGUUUACUUUUAAGGAAAAUUCUACUCAGAUCAACUUUGGAUUUCUUUUCAAAAUACAUUCUUGGGAGAUAAAAUAUUUUAUGUACAAGAUGGCUGUUGGAGACAGCAAUACUUAUUUCAAAAUUACCUGGGACUGCACCUUAAUUAAUGGCAUUACAUAUUUAUGAACCAAUUACAAUAUUUACACAGGCCAAGCAGAUCCCAGUUCAUUUAAUUAUAAUUUGAUAACUCUUUUGAAUAAACUUAGCAACAGUGGCAAAACCCAGUAGAUUGUAUUAGCGUUUUACAGAUGAAUUACAUGUUGUGAAAUAGAAAAUUAUUUUUUGUGACUUUAGGGUCAUAAUCAAAAUCCCACGUGCUUGAAGAUAUGAAUAAGUGGGAUGUCUUACCAGCUGUCAUGUACAUGGUUAAAAUAAGUUACUUUACAAGCCAUGCUCUGUAUUAUUAUUAUGCUGUGACACAAUGUUGCCAUCACAUUGUUUAUUUGAAUGCAUUUUAAAUAUCUAGUGAAUAGGAAAGCAUUAACUCAUUUGAUACUUGGUACAUUUGAAUAUUUAUUUAUAUUAUGAUCUUGAAGUAAUUACCUUUCCUGAAAACUUAUAAGGAAUUAAUAAUCCAUUAAAGCCAAGUGGUUAUGGGAUAUGCAAAUAUAAGGUGUAAUCACACAGUCAUUUAAAUAUAUCAUUUUAUAUUCUGCAGAUUUAAAUAAAACUAUUAAGACCUUAUAAGAAAAUUCUGAUUAGAGAAAAUCUUGAGAUGUAGUUAUUUGAUCCUGUUUGACUUUUGGCUAAUUCGUCCCUGCCACAAUAUUUUUGUUUUACUAUUUAGUUCUGUAAAAAAAAAAAAAUGUUAGCAUGCUAUCUCUUUCUCUAUCCCUUUGCUUUUAACCUAUGUCUUUGUAUUUAAAGUGGUUCUUACAGACAAUAGCUUGAAAAUGGUUACUUUCCCCCUCGUCUUGCCAGAAGCAACAGAAGUUUUUUGGCUCUUCACUGGGAGAACGGACAAAUGUGUUAGGGACCCCUAAAACUGCAUUCCCCUGGGAGUUUCUCAUUCUUAAAGUAAUCCACACUUAGCCUCCAGCAAUUGUCAUCAUCACUUAAGUGUCUGACCAGAGUAUGGCUCCCACAGCUGCUGAUCUAGGUAUGCUGAUCUUGGCUAUGACUCUCUGGGUGUGCCUGUCUCCCCAGAUGUUAAGAGCCAGUUCACUCUGUUCUCAAUAUUUUGAUGGGCCCAAGAAAAGUCAUUACUUUUAAGUUUGUUCAGGUUUUUCUUACUGUAAGGAAGGAAAAUGUGAGACUAGAAUGACCACUUGUAAGCCCGCAACAUGUCACAGCUGAAACCAGAACUCUUAAGUACAUUUCAGAGUAAUUAAAAGUACAUUUUUAAGAACGUGGGUUUUAUAAUGAAAAAAUAUGAAAACAAAUAUACGGAUGUAUAUGCAUGACUGGGACAUUGUACUGUACACCAGAA